rnacentral:rRNA from 1 species
AUUGAACGCUGGCGGCAGGCUUAACACAUGCAAGUCGAGCGGAGAUGAGGUGCUUGCACCUUAUCUUAGCGGCGGACGGGUGAGUAAUGCUUAGGAAUCUGCCUAUUAGUGGGGGACAACAUUCCGAAAGGAAUGCUAAUACCGCAUACGCCCUACGGGGGAAAGCAGGGGAUCUUCGGACCUUGCGCUAAUAGAUGAGCCUAAGUCGGAUUAGCUAGUUGGUGGGGUAAAGGCCUACCAAGGAGACGAUCUGUAGCGGGUCUGAGAGGAUGAUCCGCCACACUGGGACUGAGACACGGCCCAGACUCCUACGGGAGGCAGCAGUGGGGAAUAUUGGACAAUGGGCGGAAGCCUGAUCCAGCCAUGCCGCGUGUGUGUAGAAGGCCUUUUGGUUGUAAAGCACUUUAAGCGAGGAGGAGGCUACCUGGAUUAAUACUCUAGGAUAGUGGACGUUACUCGCAGAAUAAGCACCGGCUAACUCUGUGCCAGCCGCCGCCGUAAAAC